CUACGGGAGGCAGCAGUGGGGAAUAUUGGACAAUGGGGGCAACCCUGAUCCAGCAAUGCCGCGUGUGUGAAGAAGGUCUUCGGAUUGUAAAGCACUUUCACUAGGGAAGAUGAUGACGGUACCUAGAGAAGAAGCCCCGGCUAACUUCGUGCCAGCAGCCGCGGUAAUACGAAGGGGGCUAGCGUUGCUCGGAAUGACUGGGCGUAAAGGGCGCGUAGGCUGUUUGUACAGUCAGAUGUGAAAUCCCCGGGCUUAACCUGGGAACUGCAUUUGAUACGUGCAGACUAGAGUCCGAGAGAGGGUUGUGGAAUUCCCAGUGUAGAGGUGAAAUUCGUAGAUAUUGGGAAGAACACCGGUUGCGAAGGCGGCAACCUGGCUCGGAACUGACGCUGAGGCGCGAAAGCGUGGGGAGCGAACAGGAUUAGAUACCCUGGUAGUCCACGCUGUAAACGAUGUGUGCUGGAUGUUGGGUGAUUUUAUCAUUCAGUGUCGGAGCUAACGCGUUAAGCACACCGCCUGGGGAGUACGGCCGCAAGGUUGAAACUCAAAGGAAUUGACGGGGGGCCGCACAANCGGUG
rnacentral:rRNA from 1 species